rnacentral:rRNA from 1 species
AUACGGAGGGUGCAAGCGUUAUCCGGAAUCAUUGGGUUUAAAGGGUCCGCAGGCGGAUUAAUAAGUCAGUGGUGAAAUCCUCUCGCUCAACGAGAGAACUGCCAUUGAAACUGUUAGUCUUGAAUUCGGUCGAAGUAGGCGGAAUGUGUCAUGUAGCGGUGAAAUGCAUAGAUAUGACACAGAACACCGAUAGCGAAGGCAGCUUACUAGACCUGGAUUGACGCUCAUGGACGAAAGCGUGGGGAGCAAACAGGAUUAGAAACCCCGGUAGUCC